rnacentral:tmRNA from 1 species
GGGGGUGCCCGGUUUUGACAGCAGGCAGAGUUUGAUUGUAAGCACGCCGAGCGCUGUGUGGCGGCUCGUAAAUCCCGACGCUCAAAAAUCAAAUGGCAAUAACAGCUACGCACUCGCUGCCUAAUUUUCAAGGAAAAUUAGCUUAAUCCCCGGAGCCAAGGCGCUUCGGCGACGAGUAUCCCGAAGGGACGUUCCGCUCCUUAACGGCUCUUCACACGGGGUAUCAUUCAUUUGGAGAUAGCGAGCCGGAGGGUCCCGGUCGGCGCGCAAAAUUCAAGGGACUGGGUCUCCGGCUGGGUUGCCGCCUGCCAGGCCGGAGAAGGAGGAUCAAACGGCGGCUAAGCGUGUAGAAAGCUUUCGGGUUCCCUGUUUGGACGCGGGUUCGACUCCCGCCACCUCCACAC